rnacentral:lncRNA from 1 species
AACUGUAGUAAACACUUGCGAACUUGAGUAGUGCACCUAAAAUUCAAGCGGUACCAUGUUGUGGUGGAGGUAUUAGUGCUCUAAGAAAGUCAUUCUAUUUAUGCAUACUACACUUUAGUAUUCCCCUUGCUUUGAUAGUUGCCAAGCUUGAGAAAAAAAUAUAUAUCACAUGUGUAUUGACUUAGAUUUCAUUGUAUAUCAUUUUAUGAAUGAUGUUUGUGGGUAACAUUACUGCAAACCCUCACGAGACAACACUCGUCCACUAGGAUAACCUAGGGAUUUAACGGCUUGUUGCACGUGCUAAGUGCAAUCGUAAUUUCCUACGAAAGUGGGUAUAUAUCUUUGUUUUGUAUCUUUAGCUUCAAUAAAAAGUCAUAGGUUUUACCACACCUUUUGCGCUCUCAUUUUAUCGUUUGCUCGUUAAUAGCUAGAGACUAGCAAUAAGCCAGUUGGGGGGUGUGAUGAGAGCACAAAAGUGCGAUCUACACGCUGCUUAAAUUAAUAUUAUUGCUAACAAAUAGUGAUAAAAAGUGCUACAUUAAUUUUAUAUUUUUAUUUGGCACAGAUUAUCGUAAAUCAGAGUUUAAAUGUGCAUUUGGUACAAUUUGGGAUGAUUCAU